UGAGUAACCUGCCCUUGACUCUGGGAUAAGCGUUGGAAACGACGUCUAAUACCGGAUACGAGCUUCCACCGCAUGGUGAGUUGCUGGAAAGAAUUUUGGUCAAGGAUGGACUCGCGGCCUAUCAGCUUGUUGGUGAGGUAACGGCUCACCAAGGCGACGACGGGUAGCCGGCCUGAGAGGGUGACCGGCCACACUGGGACUGAGACACGGCCCAGACUCCUACGGGAGGCAGCAGUGGGGAAUAUUGCACAAUGGGCGAAAGCCUGAUGCAGCAACGCCGCGUGAGGGACGACGGCCUUCGGGUUGUAAACCUCUUUUAGCAGGGAAGAAGCGAAAGUGACGGUACCUGCAGAAAAAGCACCGGCUAACUACGUGCCAGCAGCCGCGGUAAUACGUAGGGUGCAAGCGUUGUCCGGAAUUAUUGGGCGUAAAGAGCUCGUAGGCGGUUUGUCGCGUCUGCUGUGAAAUCCCGAGGCUCAACCUCGGGUCUGCAGUGGGUACGGGCAGACUAGAGUGCGGUAGGGGAGAUUGGAAUUCCUGGUGUAGCGGUGGAAUGCGCAGAUAUCAGGAGGAACACCGAUGGCGAAGGCAGAUCUCUGGGCCGCUACUGACGCUGAGGAGCGAAAGGGUGGGGAGCAAACAGGCUUAGAUACCCUGGUAGUCCACCCCGUAAACGUUGGGCGCUAGAUGU
rnacentral:rRNA from 1 species